GGAUAUCAGUCCUUCACCACUCUAUGUGCAUCUCUCCUGAAGUUGCACAGUCAAUCAAAGAAGAAGACUUUCCUCGAGUAGAAGAGAAGGGGUCUUCAGUCAAGGAUAUACAAGUAGCUGCACUCCCCUGUGAGAGCCUACAAACAAGCCUUUACCCAGAUCUAAUUCAGAAAAUAUUUAAAUAAGACUCUGAACUUUUUUGGCUUAUGAAUUGAUGAUGGAUU
rnacentral:snRNA from 1 species